rnacentral:rRNA from 1 species
UACGUAGGCAGCAAGCGUUGUUCGGAGUUACUGGGCGUCAAGGGUGCGUAGGUGGCCUUAUAAGUCAGCGGUGAAAGUCUGCAGCUUAACUGUAGAACUGCCAUUGAUACUGUAAGGCUUGAGUACUGAUGAGGUAGGCGGAAUUGAUAGUGUAGCGGUGAAAUGCAUAGAUAUUAUCAAGAACACCGAUUGCGAAGGCAGCUUACUAAGGAGUUACUGACACUGAGGCACGAAAGCGUGGGGAUCAAACAGG